GAGUUUGAUCCUGGCUCGAUUGAACGCUGGCGGAAUGCUUUACCAUCCAUGUCGAACGGCAGCACGGACUUCGGUCUGGUGGCGAGUGGCUUACGGGUGAGUAAUAUAUCGGAACGUGCCCAGUCGUGGGGGAUAACGUAGUGAAAAUUACGCUAAUACCGCAUACGAUCUAAGGAUGAAAGCGGGGGAUCGCAAGACCUCACGCGAUUGGAGCGGCCGAUAUCAGAUUAGGUAGUUGGUGAGGUAAAGGCUCACCACGCCAACGAUCUGUAGCUGGUCUGAGAGGACGACCAGCCACACUGGAACUGAGACACGGUCCAGACUCCUACGGGAGGCAGCAGUGGGGAAUUUUGGACAAUGGACGCAAGUCUGAUCCAGCCAUUCCGCGUGCAGGACGAAGGCCUUCGGGUCGUAAACUGCUUUUGUACAGAACGAAAAGGUCUCUAUUAAUACUAGGGGCUCAUGACGGUACUGUAAGAAUAAGCACCGGCUAACUACGUGCCAGCAGCCGCGGUAAUACGUAGGGUGCAAGCGUUAAUCGGAAUUACUGGGCGUAAAGCGUGCGCAGGCGGUUAUAUAAGACAGAUGUGAAAUCCCCGGGCUCAACCUGGGAACUGCAUUUGUGACUGUAUAGCUGGAGUGCGGCAGAGGGGGAUGGAAUUCCGCGUGUAGCAGUGAAAUGCGUAGAUAUGCGGAGGAACACCGAUGGCGAAGGCAAUCCCCUGGGCCUGCACUGACGCUCAUGCACGAAAGCGUGGGGAGCAAACAGGAUUAGAUACCCUGGUAGUCCACGCCCUAAACGAUGUCAACUGGUUGUUGGGUCUUCACUGACUCAGUAACGAAGCUAACGCGUGAAAGUGACCGCCUGGGGAGUACGGCCGCAAGGUUGAAACUCAAAGGA
rnacentral:rRNA from 1 species